UUGCUCUGCAUGCUGCCCAUUCGUCCUUGUCUUUCUCAAGGAUGAUUUUGUUCGGGAACGUAAUCAAGCUUACUCAACGAUACGAAAUUAAAUGCGCGACAUAUUUUUUUUUCAACUCAUUCUGGGAGUGGCGCCAUCGGUAGUUGAAACGUCAAAUCAAUGAUCAUAGUGGGGGACGAUAUGUAAGGGACAUCAGACAGCACAGGAAGGGGGGAAGGAAAAAGAGGAGGAAACCAAUGUCAAGACCAAAAUACAAGAGCUAACGUCAGAUAAAAGAAGAACUCUUAAGAUACGAAGACGUCAGAUUUAACUACAAUUCUUAUUUCACAUGAUACAUGCUUGAUUUUGUGACGUAAACUUUACAUGUAACUGAUAAACACGAGCACGUCAAUCAUAUUUGAGUUUUCGAAGACAGAUAUGAUUUAAAAAUAACAUAGGAUGAAUUAACAACAACAUUUUGAUCACCUGAACUUCGUUUGCCUAAUUACAAUCAAUAUGUUUCACUGUAUACCAUUUCGUGGGGAAUAAAAUUAUUCCUGAGACAAUUAAAGUUGUUCGUGACACAUCAGAAAAGAGAGAUUGAAGAAAAAGAAGAACCAAAAGGAGUGCAGAACAUGCCAUGGCCCUGACACGCUAACUCUUAGUAGUUUAACUUUCGUUCUCACUUUUACAGUUGCUCUACGGUUUUAAAAAUAGAAGAAGCAGCAUCCCCCAAUGUAAAUAUGGAUUAUAUACGCGUUCUGGUAGAAAUGAACUCAAAUGAAUUAUCGUUGCUCUUCAUACAGCUACGACAAACACGAACGCGAGAUUGUUACCAAUAAUACCUACAAGUACUUCGACUUCGAUUUCGUUUGAACUGAUGUUUAACGAUGUCGCAAGUAUCUGAUCGAGAUGACCUACAUUGUGAUAAAACAGGUUCCGGUAUUUUGGUCAGAAUAAAAAUACCGAGACGCAUAUUUUUCUACCUUUGUGACAUGUAAACUUUCGAGUACAAAAAUUACUUAUAAAUGAUUACUGACGCAUGCAUCUUUAUAUUUUGUUAAUUGUAUGUAUUAAUAUGAGACAAUUGAACCAUAUCCGUCAAACAUAAAGUAUAUUGAUGUAAUAAUUAUUAUAACUGAGAAAUGAAAAAUAUAGAAUAUGAUAUUAUAGUAAAGAAAGUAAAGGAAAUCUAUUCAUGCCCUGAAAAGCUUGUAAACAAAAGAAGUACGC